CUACUAGAUGCCAAAACGCCCUAUUCUAUGUAUUGUGAUAUCCUGGAGCUGAGAUGGAGCUGGAACAGACAGAGUGAUGUCACUGAACUCCUAAAACUAAAAUACCAAUACACCAGAGGCUUCACACAGAUAGAGAGAUACAGAAAUAGAGAAACAGAAAGAGAGAGAGAAAUGGUGAGUGUCUGGAGAGAGAGAGAGAGAGAGAGAGAGAGAGAGAGAGAGAGAGAGAGAGAUGGGGGGGCAGUCGAGCGGGUAGGCAGCACACAGGCAGGCAGAAGUUUUACAACAGAGAGAAACGGAGGAACCAUUGGAAGGUAUAAUUAUACAAAACUACAGGCAACAGGAUAGCAGUGUCUGGCUGCAGCAGCACCACAGAGGUUAGCUCAGUUCUCGAGUGUUUAAUGGAAGUUAGUGGACAACAGAUAGAAGCAGGAGAAUCACAGUGAACUUCUGACACAGAAGCCAUGGAGGAGUUCAAACGAGGGAGAUCUGAUACCUUGAACAUACAGUCAGAGGGUGAGGAGAUGACCCCGGUUACCCUGGUAGCCACAAUGACCCCUGACCCCGAGGUGAACUCUGAGCCCUCCCAGGCAGAGCUGGCUCAGUGUGAGGCGGAGGUCGGAACUCUACUCAGCAUCAUUGCUGAACUCAACAGGAAAAUGGGCGCAUUACAAGCACCAAGUGAUCCAGAUGACCUUAAACCACAGGAGCCAGUCAUCCUCCCUCCGGCUCCAGCCUCCCUGUCCAGCCCUCCUCCAUCCCUCUGCAACCCAGAGAAACGCACUGGCACCGCAUCUAAAACACCAGUAACCAACAGAGAGGGUAGUGGUGAAGUAUGGUCAGAACUCCAGGGAGUCAUGUCUGUUCUGGAGGGUUCCAUCAACACCAGGAGGGCCUGGGCUGCCUCUCACACUGCCUGUGGGCAGGACAGACAGACGGAACACCUCACAGCCACCAGGGACAGCUGGGUACAAGUCACACAGGUCUUAGAGGAGAUGGAGAGAGAGUUUGGGAUCUCGUACCCGUCUGGUCUGCCCCCUGAGGAGCGUCAGCAAUACCAGAAGGACAUCCUGGCACUUCACCAGCGGAACUGUGACCUGCGCAGCAGCCUGCAAAGCAGACAGGAAGAACUGGAGGGGGCAAAGGUCACGGUGGGAGACAUAGAGGUUGAGAGGAACAGUCUACAUGAGAGGUUACUGGGUCUCCAUAAAGCGUGGCGAACAGGCAGCCUCUCUCCUCCCUACAGCUCCUCAGGGAGCUCCAGUGGUGUGGUUCUGAGUCCUGGCUGGGCCUCCCCUGGUUCCCCUGGUUCCCCUUCAUUCCUUGGCUCUCCUCCCUUCCCCGGGUCACCUCUGUUCCUCAGGAGACCCAUCGCCAUGGGGAUCUUCCCGGCCCUCUCAACUGGGGGGGACAUAUCCUCCUCGGCCUCUCCAUCACCCUCCCCCUGGCCUGGGAGUGUCCCACAAGGCAGCCCCUGUCGUAGCCCUAGCCCCAGCCCCAGCGUCAGCCUGGAGGGUGAGACAGACAGACUACAGAGGUGUAUAGAAAGGCUGAAGGCCCGGAACGAGCGUCUGACUGCAGCUCUGGACAGGAGAAAGGGAGAGUCUGAGCAGAUCAGUAUGACGCUCAGCAGACACGAAGCUGACAGCACAGCCCUGCAGAUGGCUCUCCAAUACUGCGAGGAGUGUGAGGAGGCCUACAGUGAGUUACUGUCUGUGUACGAGGGCAGGAGACAGCAGGUCAUACCACACUGGAGACACACAGCAGGCCCGGUCAUGGAGAGUCAGCAGGCCAAAAGUCCCAGGCCGUCCCUUAGGAGUCUGAGAACUGAGGAGUUGUCAACCUCCUUCUCAACACCAGGGGGUGCUGUUGAGACAGAAACACACAUCCAGACCAGGUUCCAUCUUUAUUAUCCAGCCAGGGGGUCCGAGGUAGAGGGGUGCGAGGCGGACAUUCGGGAGCGUAUUGAGCGGUUGAAGCACGACAGGGCAGCAGUGUGUGUCCCUAAGCCAGGGCCUGGGGGAGAGGGGAAUCUCAGCCCAGAUACAGGCACCCUGGCUGGGCUUAGAGGGAGCCGCGGAGCACAGGGGGGCCAGGACACCUCCAACCCCCAGAGCACCAAGAGAGAGAAGGCUGUUCUGCUCUAUGACCUGGUCACUGUCAGGGAGGAGAUGUCGGAGCUGCGAGGUUUAAUCCGUCUGACGGAGAAGGAGCGGAGGUGUCUGGACUGGAGUCUAAUGGCCCAGAAGGCCCAGGAUGCAGCUGGAGCCCUGAUCUCUGAGAGCCUCGCUGAGGAGAUAGCGGACAGGAGGACAGAACAGCAGAGGACUUCUGAGAACGAGGAUAAGCUAAGCAGCGAUGGAGACAUCCCUGGGCCUCAAAACCGCACCAUCCUUCGAGAGCUACAGGCUGUCCUGCAACGGGAGCAGGUGCUGAAGAGGAGGGUGUCGGCGGUGAGGGAGUCUCUGGACUUGGUUCUCUCCGACAGCUCCUCUCGCAAGAGAGACAAUGAUGAGCAGAUGGCUCGGCUCGCACAAGCUCACAGCAAGGCCACAGGGUCGUACCGGAACGCUCGCAGGAAGUACAGGGAGAAGCUGUGGAGGCUGGAGAGUCAGGUGUCAGCAAUGUCAGAUCGUCACAUGACCCAGAUCGGGGCCCUGAAGGCCACGCUGGAGGCCAUGGAGUGCAGGAGGGAGGAGACUGUACUCUGACUGAGCUGAGGCUCUCUCCCUCUAUCAUUUCCCUCUCUCCCUCGCCUUUUCCCUUUCUUCAUCUUUCUCCAUCUUCUUGCCCCCCCCCCUCCAUCUCAUUCACUCUCCUUCUCUCCUCUCCCCAUCUCUCUCUCCCGCCCUCUCUUCAUUCAUCUCCCUCUCUCCCCCUCUGCCCUGUCUGAGGCGGCCGGCCAGCUGCAGCUGUGACCAGCGGUCAGGAGGUUAAGGCAAAGGUUGAGUGUCACACCCACCGGGUCACAGCGGUGCCUGGCUGUUGUGUCAACCUCUGAAUGGAGGGUUCAGGGGGCCAGACUAGGAGGGUCUCAAUCCAGGUUCUAACCUCUGGUUGACUCCGCUUUCCUGGCAAAAGAUGUCACGAGAAGGGGAAAAGAGAAGGGGAAGAGAAGGGGAAAGAGAAGGAGAUAUUGAUGCACUCACCCAUAUCUAUAGCGUUGUUACACUAAACAUCAUGUGGAAAGAACCCUUGGGCUUAUGUCAUUAUAGUAAUGUGUGAUUCCUCUACAGUCUCAGGAUUCAGCUGCUGUAUGAUAGGGUCCAGCUGAUGAUCAUGUAUUUUCAUGAACUGGAAUGUGUUUCACAAUGACUGUGUUGAAUUAUUGAAUGAUCUUAUCUCCUUGGUUUGGAAUGAAAUCAUGCUACUGAAAGACAUAUUGAAUCUAUUUGAAAAAGUACAAGUUUAAUAUAAUCCUGAUGUAAUGAUGUAAUGCAGGAAAUGUGGAUAUGAAGUGUGUUUGCUUUGCAUAAGGGAUAUAUCAAAAAUGUUCCACACCACCGCCAUGUACAAAAAUGAUCUGUGAACAGAUUGAGGAUAGGGAAAAAGGGGAUCUGUAGAUGCCUGGGAACAUUAUUACACAAUGACAGAGGCUGUCAAUCACACACACAGAGGGCAAUAACCCUAGGGUUGAAGGUCACCUCAUUUACUCUCUGCAUCCGUAUGUCAUUUAAAUAAAUUGUCCUGCUAAGCCGUAUAAAGAGA